rnacentral:sRNA from 1 species
GCAUGUGAGGGCAGUGUGCCUGUGAUAUCUGUCACCCCGUUGUUCUCUAGGGUUGACUCUGCUAAUCUGGCUAAGCAGGUAUCACCUUCCCCCCUCAUGCCUCUAUAUGCAAACCUCCUGAAUCUGUGCACUCAUUCAAGAGGUUAGAGAAGAGCUAAUCUUCCUGCUCCUUAGCUAGAGUCUCCGAACAAACACUCAUGAGUAGCCACAAUAA